GGGGAUAUGGUAUAAUUGGUAUUAUAGUAUCUUUGCAGGAUAGCUGAUGUCAGUUCAAAUCUGACUGUCUCCA